CUGUACAAGUGACUGCCUUGCC
rnacentral:miRNA from 1 species